rnacentral:rRNA from 1 species
AGGACGAACGCUGGCGGCGUGCUUAACACAUGCAAGUCGAGCGGAAAGGCCCUUCGGGGUACUCGAGCGGCGAACGGGUGAGUAGCACGUGAGUAAUCUGCCCCUAGCUCUGGGAUAGCUCCGGGAAACCGGGAUUAAUACCGGAUACGACCACCUUAGACAUCUUUUGUGGUGGAAAGAAUUUCGGCUAGGGAUGAGCUCGCGGCCUAUCAGCUUGUUGGUGGGGUAACGGCCUACCAAGGCGACGACGGGUAGCCGGCCUGAGAGGGCGACCGGCCACACUGGGACUGAGACACGGCCCAGACUCCUACGGGAGGCAGCAGUGGGGAAUAUUGCGCAAUGGGCGAAAGCCUGACGCAGCGACGCCGCGUGGGGAUGAAGGCCUUCGGGUUGUAAACCCCUUUCAGCAGGGACGAAGCGAAAGUGACGGUACCUGCAGAAGAAGCGCCGGCUAACUACGUGCCAGCAGCCGC